UGGGGAAUAUUGCACAAUGGAGGGAACUCUGAUGCAGCGACGCCGCGUGAGUGAUGAAGGAAUUCGUUUCGUAAAACUCUGUUCUAUGGUAAGAAAAGGACUGUACCAUAGGAGAAAGCUCCGGCUAAAUACGUGCCAGCAGCCGCGGUAAUACGUAUGGAGCGAGCGUUGUCCGGCAUUAUUGGGCGUAAAGGGUGCGCAGGCGGCUUUACAAGUUGGAUGUGAAAUAUUGUGGCUCAACCACAAACGUGCAUAAAAAACUGGAAAGAUUGAGUUAAGGAGAGGUAAGUGGAAUUCAUGGUGUAGCGGUGGAAUGCGUAGAUAUCAGGAGGAAUACCGGUGGCGAAGGCGACUGACUGGACAGAAACUGACGCACAGGCACGAAAGCGUGGGGAGAAAAAAGG
rnacentral:rRNA from 1 species